rnacentral:rRNA from 1 species
GACGAACGCUGGCGGCGUGCUUAACACAUGCAAGUCGAACGGUGAAAGGGAGCUUGCUCCCUGGAUCAGUGGCGAACGGGUGAGUAACACGUGGGCAACCUGCCCCAGACUUCGGGAUAACGCUUCGAAAGAGGUGCUAAUACCGGAUACGAACUCCUUGGGCAUCCUUGGAGUUGGAAAGUUUUUCGGUCUGGGAUGGGCCCGGGGCCUAUCAGCUUGUUGGUGAGGUAACGGCUCACCAAGGCGACGACGGGUAGCCGGCCUGAGAGGGCGACCGGCCACACUGGGACUGAGACACGGCCCAGACUCCUACGGGAGGCAGCAGUGGGGAAUAUUGCGCAAUGGGCGAAAGCCUGACGCAGCAACGCCGCGUGAGGGAUGACGGCCUUCGGGUUGUAAACCUCUUUCAGCAGGGAAGAAGCGAAAGUGACGGUACCUGCAGAAGAAGCACCGGCUAACUACGUGCCAGCAGCCGCAGUAAAAC